ACCAUAGAGCGCUCUGAGGAUGAGCUGGACACGGUGCCCACUUCUGUGCUCAUUCAGGUCGUGGAGCUGCUAGAACUGUACUGAGUGAGAAAACAACCGUCCUCAAGCCAAAAUCUCCAGAGAAGACCAAACCCGAUGAAAAAGACCCUGAGAAAUCUCCUGCCAAAAAUCUUGAAG
rnacentral:lncRNA from 1 species